UUACAGCUUCAGAUGAAUACUUCACAACUACAGUAACUCACAACUUACACUAUUUCUGUGUUAGAUCAUGAUUUAUGUAAUAUUAUUUGAUACAAAAUACCAAAGAAGCUUUACCAAAAUUCACACAAUUAAGCAUGCAUUGUAUGUUAUUCUCAUGUCAGCUUGUUUGUUGGGUUAUCUUUGUUCUCACAUUAUAUUGUAUAAGAAGGCUCAUUAAAACUACAGAAACUCACAUGUAUGAACAAUAAUGGUAAUACGAUGUUGCCAAUUUGCUGCAAAAUAAAGAACGAAAAGGAUUAUCAAAAAACAAAGAACUGAAAUAAAUAAGGAUUUAAAUAGCCAUGAAUAUUCAGUUUAUCUUUCCUUAUGUGCUUCAGAUUUAAUGUCAGGACAGGAGGAGGAGUUUAGCACCGACACUAUUCAGCAUGCAGCUGGUUCCAGAGCCUCAGAAGUCAUCACUCCAAAAAGUGACAGAGAAUUGUCUCUUGAGGGUGACAAUGUGACCCUCUCCUGUAACUACAGCGGUUCUGCUCGUGCUGUUCACUGGUAUCGGCAAUAUGCAGGAUCACCACCACAGUUCCUCAUACUGGAAGAUUCAGGGGCAACAAUUCCAGCUAAUCCACCCGUUCCAGGAAUAACCAUCAGUCACAGAAAAACAGAACUCCAUGUGGAUCUGAGCAUCUCCUCUGCUAAAGUCACAGACUCCGCUCUGUAUUACUGUGCUCUGCAGCCCACAGUGACAGGAAACCCUAUAACACUGUACAAAAACAGUUUUUGUAUGCUUAUCAAGCCUUGAUAGAAAUUUACAAACCACAGCUGGACUCCAAAAUAAAUAAAUAAAUAAAAGUACUGAUAUUGGAAUUAUUAAUUACUAUCCAAUAUUGUGGCUUUAGUAGACAGUAACUCAGAAUGGAUCCUCCGUUCAUAGUUUUCACGUGAUAUCAUAUCCCAGGCUUAUCUGCUUAAAUCACUCUUUUAAUGUAUUAAGGCACUUUAAGUAUUUUUCAUAUUAAAAAUUGCAGAAUGUCCCGCUGGUUUUAUUGGUUGAAAUAUUGCAGCGAAAGCUUUAUAUGCAUUGCAAAUGGCCAAAACUUGCACUUUGUUCACAUACAGUAUCCCUGUUUUAUUGUUUUGAGAGGUGAUUUAAUAUUAGUUGAUUGGAAACAAAUAAAAAAUUGACAAGCAUGUGUUGCA